rnacentral:lncRNA from 1 species
UAGCAAGAAAACAGCAAAUUAUGGCACAGAUGGCUGCUUGUACCUCUGAACCAGAAUAUGACAAAUUACUUGAAGAACUGAAAGAAACAAGGAGUACUGCAGCAUCACCAUCACCAAUUGAUCUAUCUGAUGACAAUGAUGACUUUUUUACACAAGCAGAGAUGUAACCAGAAAAAUGACUCAGUCUUCCACCAAGAAACAAGUGGCAGAGACAAAAGCAUGAUGAUGCAGCGGACAAUUGGCCGACAAGAUAAAAUAAUGGCCGACAAAGUUAAAAGUAAAAAGAAAAAGAAGAAAAAAACAAAUGACUCAGCAACAGACAAAAGAAAGAGGCGCACUAACCGACAUUCUUCGCCAAUGAAGGAAAGACAGCUCAGCACGCACUAUCAUAGACCGCUCAACCAAAUUCAAUAAACAUUUGACAUCCGCGGCUAUAAAAAGGAGCUCUCCAGACCAACAAGGACACACCGAACUUCAACACUGAAAAUCUCCAUCACUCUCUAAAUGUAUUCCAAUUCAUGUUUCUCAUGUAAGGAUACCGAAGUUUAUGACAACUCGGUAGUAGCAGUAGUACCAGUUAUUGUGUAAUUAAGUACCAAGGUAGUACAAAGUUGUAUUUUGUAUUUUAUUGUUAAUACAAGUACCAUUUACCAACUGUUACUGUAUAAGUCCGUGUUGACUGCAAUUAUUCUCUCUUUCUUCGAUCAUCCUUCUGAGUUAAUUCUGGGAUAUCCAGGUUAACAGUGCAGGA